rnacentral:rRNA from 1 species
AAUGAACGUUGGCGGCGUGGAUUAGGCAUGCAAGUCGAGCGAGAACCCGCAAGGGGGACAGCGGCAAACGGGGUAGUAAUGUGUCGGAACGUGCCCUCUGGACGGGGAUAGCGGCGGGAAACUGCCGGUAAUACCCGAUGAACUCGAGAGAGCAAAGGUGUGAUUCCGCCGGAGGAGCGGCCGACAUGGUAUUAGCUAGUUGGCGGGGUAACGGCCCACCAAGGCUGUGAUGCCUAGGGGAUGUGAGAGCAUGAUCCCCACCAUUGGGACUGAGACACUGCCCAGACACCUACGGGUGGCUGCAGUCGAGAAUCUUCGUCAAUGGGCGAAAGCCUGAACGAGCGACGCCGCGUGCGGGAUGAAGGCCCUUGGGUUGUAAACCGCUGUCGAGGGGGAUGAAGGCAUUCAGGUACUCCUGAAUGUUUGACAGAGCCCUGGAGGAAGCACGGGCUAAGUUCGUGCCAGCCGCCGCUGUAAUAC